GAUGAACGCUGGCGGCGUGCCUAAUAUAUACAAGUCGCGCGAAGCGGGGACUGUUGAGUACCACGUGGAUACCCUCCUCUAAGACUGGGAUAACUUCGGGAAACCGUAUCUAAACCGGAUACUUAUACAUGGAUCAGCGCUGCAUUAGCUAGUUGGUAAGGUAACGGCUUACCAAGGCAACGAUGCAUAGCCGGCCGGAAAGGGUGAUAGGCCAAAUUGGAACGAGGAUAAGGUCAAGAAUGCUACGGGAGGGAGCAGUAGGGAAUCUUACGCAAUGGGCGAAAGCCUGACGGAGCAACGCCGGGUGAGUGAUGAAGGUCGUCGGAUCGGAAAACUCUGUUAUUAGGGAAGAGGUACCUAAUCAGAAAGCCACGGCUAACUACGUGCCAGCAGCCGCGGUAAUAC
rnacentral:rRNA from 1 species